UAGAUUUUCUACAAAGUCAAACUUUAUAAACUUUGACCAAGUUUAUAGAGAAAACUAUUUAUAUCUAUAAUACCAAAUGUAUAUAAUAUGAAAGUAUGUGUUGUGAUGUAUCUAAGCACACGUAUUUGGUAUUCUAGAUGUAUAUGAUUUUCUCUACAAACUUGGUCAAAGUUUAUAAAGUUUGACUUCUAGAAAAAUCUA
rnacentral:pre_miRNA from 1 species